CAGCAAACAAGAAUUACGGUCAAACAGUACACGGGCAAUCGGUGAUUGGCUAAACGGGCCAGGAAGGUGGGCGCUGGAGAGCGCCAUGGACAGAAAUACACUCCACACUUCCUUACCUGUGAAAGCAUUUGUAGCCUGAAAACCAGCUUCCUGCAUACUGCUCUUCCAGAGAAGAUGAACGUCCAACCUUAACCUGUCCUUGCUGGAGAUCACGGAUGGGCAGGAAACUGUCAGGUCACUUCCAUUUUAGUCAGAGUCCAUUUCUUACUCUGCUCCCAUGCAUUCAGUUACUCUGCUUUGAGCCACAGUGUCCAAAUGGCUGAUGUGAUAGGGCAAUGCCUUCUGUUGCCAGAAAAAGAUCUAUGGCACCUUACCCGUCCAACCAAAAAUAUAUCGCCAUGAUGGUAAACACAAUAUUCAGAGAGGUCGAAGUUAAAAGUUAUGAAGGGGUUUUAGUAUUAUCCUUUAGCUGUAGUAUUCCCAUCAGUCCAGAGUUGCCUUGAUCUUGCAGGGUUUGCGUGGUGCAGACGUCGGCCUGUGUCUGGCCUUCAAUAUCUUGACCGCCUCAAGUCCCUUGGGCACGCAAACUAGAAUAAUAAAAGAAAACUGGAGAUUAGGUUACCCAAAGACCUAUGCCAACACAGAAAUGAACAAAGGCAAAAAAAAAAAAAAACCUUUGGAACGGGUGGUCAGCAUUACAAGGGAUUUUCAAAAGCCAUAGUUACUAGAGAUCGAAGGGGCAGAGGAGAGGAGGCGAAAGCACAAGAAGACUGGAAUAAAACUCAGGGACAGAUUCAUCUGAAGCUUGUUUUAAUACGACUAAUAGAAAAAAAGCUUCUUGUUCCCCAUCAUCAGUACAAAACAAUACUGAACAUCACGCAACUAUUUCAUAAUAUACAUCUUAAUCUUUUGAC